rnacentral:rRNA from 1 species
UACGUAGGGGGCGAGCGUUGUCCGGAAUCAUUGGGCGUAAAGCGCGUGUAGGCGGCUCGGUAAGUCCGCUGUGAAAGUCGGGGGCUCAACCCUCGAAUGCCGGUGGAUACUGUCGGGCUAGAGUGCGGAAGAGGCGAGUGGAAUUCCUGGUGUAGCGGUGAAAGUGCGCAGAUAUCAGGAGGAACACCGGUGGCGAAGGCGGGUCUCUGGGCGAACAACGAUGACGCUGGAGGAGCGAAAGCGUGGGGAGCGAACAGG